AAAAUUAUUAUUAUCAUCAAUAUUAUUAUUAUGAUUAUUAUAAUAUUACUGAAGUAUCACUAUUAUUACCGGUAGGCGUUAAUAAAUUAUGGUAGUUAUAAAUUAUUUCAGGUACUUUUACGUUUGCGUAAUAUUUGUUAAUUGAUAUUCUUGUGUUGUGCGUGUUCAACAAACUUGACGUUGAUUAUCAUUUCAUUGCAGUAUGGACGCACACCACUACAUUGGUGUCUAUGGAAUCAGUGGCUGACGCACGAGCAACACAAGGAAGUCGCAAUUCUCAAUAUCACCUUUGGCGCGUCGGUGACAAUAAAAGAUAAUGAAGGAAAGACGCCUCUUGAUUUGUAUGAUGAAAACGAAUGUAAAGGAUACGAAGAAACCACGAGAAGUGAAAAGAAACUAGAUUUAAAAGAAUUACUUGAAAAACUAUCAACUCCAUCAGAGAUUUUAGCCAGGGGUCCCGAUGCCGUCAAAGCAUUCAAAGAUGCACUU